CAUCCUGCCCUGCAAGGCCGCGGGCAGCGGCGGCAACUGUGACUAGAAAAGCCGGUAGAGGAUCCUUAGGGAAAACUCCAAAAUGGCGGCGGCGUCGGGGUCCAUCGGGUCCACACGCGGCACCUCCCCCAAGUAAGAGAUACAGUCUUACUCUGUUGCCCAGGCUGAAGUACAAUGGCAUGAUUUUGGUUCACUGCAACCUCCACCUCCUGGGUUCAAGCAAUUCUCCUGCCUGAGCCUCUUGAGCAGCUGGGAGCACAGAUGCCAGGCUGGAUGGAGUGCAAGGGCGCGAUCUUGGCUCACUGCAACCUCCGAUUCCUGGGUUCAAGUAAGUCUCCUGCCUCAGCCUCCCGAGUAGCUGGGACUAUAGGUGUGCACCCACCAUGCCUAGCUAAUUGUAUUUUUCAGUAGAGACAGGGUUUCACCAUGUUGGCCAGGAUGAUCUCGAACUCCUGACCUCAGGAUCCACCCACGUUGGCCUCCCAAAGUGCUGGGAUUACAGGCGUGAGCCACUGCGCCUGGCCAAUUUUUGGUAUUUUCAGUAGAGAUGGGGUUUCACCAUGUUGGCCAGGCUGAUCUUGAACUCCUGACCUCAAGUGAUCCACCCACCUCGGCCUCCCGAAGUGCUGGGAUUACAGGCGUGAGCCACUGCACCCGGCCUGCAAUUCAUUAUUUAGUGUGAUUCAGUGAACUUACAUUACAUACUAGACAUAUACUCAAAGUUAAGCAACACUGCAAUGCAGAAACUAAAAGUAUUCUUGCAAUGGAAGACCUUAAAGUGUGUUCAAUGGUGGCUACAGGAUAAAAGGUAAUUUACCAAUUAAGCAGGCAAUGAAGACGAGCUUACCUUGCUG